AGCAGCCGCGGUAAUUCCAGCUCCAAUAGCGUAUAUUAAAGUUGUUGCAGUUAAAAAGCUCGUAGUUGAAUUUCGGGAUCAAUAUGUCUGUCGUGCCUUCGGUACGUACGGGUAUAAUUGGUUUCUACCUUCUGAUGAACCUUGAUGCCAUUAAUUUGGUGUCUUGGGGACUCAGGACUGUUACCUUGAAAAAAUUAGAGUGUUUAAAGCAGGCAUGCGCUUGAAUACAUUAGCAUGGAAUAAUGAAAUAGGACGUUCGAUUCUAUUUUGUUGGUUUCUAGGAUCGACGUAAUGAUUAAUAGGGAUAGUUGGGGGCAUUAGUAUUCAAUUGUCAGAGGUGAAAUUCUUGGAUUUAUUGAAGACUAACUACUGCGAAAGCAUUUGCCAAGGAUGUUUUCAUUAAUCAAGAACGAAAGUUAGGGGAUCGAAGACGAUCAGAUACCGUCGUAGUCUUAACCAUAAACUAUGCCGACUAGGGAUCGGAUGAUGUUAAUUUUUUAAUGACUCAUUCGGCGCCUUACG
rnacentral:rRNA from 1 species